rnacentral:rRNA from 1 species
AUGAACGCUGGCGGCGUGCCUAAUACCUGCAAGUCGAGCGAACGGACGAGAAGCUUGCUUCUCUGAUGUUAGCGGCGGACGGGUGAGUAACACGUGGAUAACCUACCUAUAAGACUGGGAUAACUUCGGGAAACCGGAGCUAAUACCGGAUAAUAUUUUGAACCGCAUGGUUCAAAAGUGAAAGACGGUCUUGCUGUCACUUAUAGAUGGAUCUGCGCUGCAUUAGCUAGUUGGUAAGGUAACGGCUUACCAAGGCAACGAUGCAUAGCCGACCUGAGAGGGUGAUCGGCCACACUGGAACUGAGACACGGUCCAGACUCCUACGGGAGGCAGCAGUAGGGAAUCUUCCGCAAUGGGCGAAAGCCUGACGGAGCAACGCCGCGUGAGUGAUGAAGGUCUUCGGAUCGUAAAACUCUGUUAUUAGGGAAGAACAUAUGUGUAAGUAACUGUGCACAUCUUGACGGUACCUAAUCAGAAAGCCACGGCUAACUACGUG